CACGGCCAGUCGCGCCCCUUCUUGGAGACCUCCAGGUUGUGCGGAACAGGAGGCCAGCGCCCAGCGCAGGAGGCAGAGCUGGCAGGCCACGCGCCUAAGCGCAGGCACCUCCUCCUCCCUCCUUCCCACCCUGAAAGGGAGUGGCAGGUGAUGAGGGGCUGUCAGCCAGCUUCCCUGCCCCCUCUCGCCCUGUUCUCAGGGCUCCCAGCCCGGGUGCAUGGACCAGGAAGGCAUCACUAAGGAUUCUUGCAACUAUGUAAUGUUAGUUGUUGGUGGUCAACAUGGUACCAACAGUGCACCUUUGGAUGAAGGUAGACUCAAGUUUGAGGUCUUUACUUGCAGCCGUGCCCUUAAAGCAGGAGCUGAAGUUGGCCCUGUAGGAGUGGACGUGAGCCUUUCUUCCAGGGGUUCAGAGAACAGGCUGGAGAAUGGAGAGGUGCCGGCUGCCAGGUGGCUGCUGGACUCAGCCCUAACCUCCUGGAGCUCCUCCAAGGAGUUUACCCUCCAAGGUCAAAACGACUGCUUUCCUGGAGCCCCUGCUGGCAUUCUGGGUUCAAGAACCCAGGCGGGAAAUGAACUGAUUGAAAGAGAAGGAUGGAUCUCUGUGAGCAAAGGUGAGACAAAGGAGCACCUUUGUGCAACUAUAGAAGUCAAGGGCAGAAAAAUGAGCUAGGAUCUGGGGCUUCCCAUGCGGGACUUCUCAGGAACAGUACAACGUCAGGAAAUGUACAACCUCAGGAAGUGUACAACCUCAGGAAGAGUUCAACUUCAGGACGUGUACAACCUCAGGAAGAGUAAAACCUCAGGAAGAGUACCACCUCAGGAACAGUACAAUCUCAGCAAUGGUACAACCUCAGGAAGAGUAUAGCCUCAGGAAGUAUACAACCUCAGCAACAGUAUAACCUCAGGAAGUGUACAACCUCAGGAAGGGUACAACCUCAGGAAGGGUACAACCUCAGGAAGUAUAUAACCUCAGGAAGGGUACAACCUCAGGAAGUGUACAACCUCAGGAACAGUACAACCUCAGGAACAGUGCAACCUCAGGAAGUGUACAACCUCUGGGAGGGGCCAGUCAUAGUUAGAGCUUCUCCCAUUGGCUGCCAUCCCCCGAAGCUGCUCACCCUUAGAGAAGUCUGAUGCUAUGGAAGCAAAGGCAGUGUGUAGAAAGAGAAUGGACCACCCAUCACCCUCCCCAGUGUGCAGAGACAGUCACAGCUGUCCAGGAUUUGGAUCCAGCAGAGGCGUGAGUCAUGCACAGCAAAGCAGGUAGCAGACCCCAGCCCAAGUCUUCUCUUUCAACUUAUCCCAGGAAGCUACCCUUCAGAACAGGAAAGCUGACCCUCAUGCUCAUGAAAUAGAAUCGUGGGGGCUGCAGCCUCACCCCAUCCUGCAGUGGAACUGGCCACGUUUUCUUCUGACAUAGCACUGCUCUUGGAAAGAAAUUUUCCAGUAGUUGGAACAGGGUGAUCGGUCAUAGAGGUCAUUAUAUUAUUGUCUCUGAUUGUGCACGUUUGAAAUUUUCGAUAAUAAACAUGUUUAAAUAAGUGCUUGCAUUGCACUGGAAUGCACAACACAGACUGGCCGCACGCGCUUCCACACUGCAAAUUAUUUCUAUUCAUAUUCCACAUACUUGCUAAGAAUCAUUUCCAAGGAUUUCUUGGCAGAUGACCUGCUGUUAUUUAAAUACUGCUAACGAUGAGAAGUGUCCUGAUUCUGAAGCUGUCAGAGCUGGAUGAAUGUGCUCGUGAGACAACAGUGCUGACUCUGUCCCAAAUACAACCCCUUCUAACUUCAAAUGAGAAGCAGACGGCUCCUCCACCGAGAAAGUGGAUUUAUCCUUUCUAUUUUAUUCAGUGCAUUUUCACAUCAUCCCAAAUAACUGGUGAAGUUUGCUAUUCUGUGUCAGACCAAUAGAUGCUGCAGAAUCUACUGGAGAGAUGCUAAGGGCUAUGUUUCCAUUCUCUGGGUUAAAAAGAUGUGAGCAAAAUAUUUAAGUAAAAUCAAGAUACCUACAGGCAAAAGCUGACAAAGUGUAGCCCACUGUACUACAUAAUAGAUGGAGAUUUUUUUUAAUAUCACAGCACUCUCUGUGUUCACCUACCUGUCAGCUCCACAUCAUUUGUUAUUAAUUUAACACCGGGCGCCUGCAGAGAGCUGCAAGCUAGUGCGAGCUCACAAAUCAGGGGCAAAGACAGCAACGCCUCCUUGGAGAUUCUUGUUCACAAACUUCAAGGGAAUUUGAAAAAUGCCCCUCAAUUUGGAGGAUGCUGGAGAUGCAGUCGAAUAACGCCUAGAAAGGCGGGUGUCGCUUCCCUCAUCUAAAUGCAGAACUGAGAACAAGCUGUGGGCAGCUGGUCACCUCUGGAAUUCCAAGAAGCCCAGGGCAGCACUGGACUCUCUGAUUUCCUGUAGCGUCUCCUCCCUAAUUACUUGACCCCAUUCCCAUGGGCUGGAAGACAGAGGCAUCCAUAGUCCACCACAGGGCGGAAAAGCUGGAGGGGAAGAUGUCUCUAGUCCCUGGAUCAGCCUCUAAGAAUCAGCCUGGCCUCCGGCUGGAGAGACCCAGAGCACGUCCACUGUCUCAGCCACAGUCCAGGGGCGGUGAGGCGUCUCCACGGCAGCUUGCUCCGAAGGCCACUCCACCCGCAGCAGCAGCUUAAAGCAAAGGAACGCUUUUGUGUUCUGCAUGUUAAUUGUUUUAACCCAUUGACCUAGUUUUCAACACCUUUGUGCAUCUUGGCAUGUUCAUUUCUUCAUUCAACAAGCGACUUUGUCCAGGGCCCUCUGCCCCGAGUCCUGGCCGCCCCCAGCCCCGAGCCUUGUGCCGCAGCUGACAGUCCGUUGGUCAGCAGGACGAUCUGUGCACCGAGCCACCUGGGGCAGGAGGCAGGGACAGGCAUGGAAGCAGUUUCCCUGCAGGGAGCACAGCUCCUGCGGGGAGCAUUCCCUCGGGGCCGCGCGUGUCCCGAGAGGACAGGGCCAAGGGUGAGGGCUUUCCUCCUGGAGAGGACACCGGGCAGAGGCCCAGAGGUGGUUCCAGGUUCCUCGUUCCUGCCUGCUCAGGCUGGGUCCUCUGCAGAGAAACUGCGUCGUCGACUACAAACCUCAAAGGGAAAGUGAGAGCAGGUUUUUCUCUUCUCCGUCGCGCCAUCCAGCCUCUGCGAGUGGAGGUUUACAGCCCCGACAGGCCUCCAGCGCAGAGGGAGAGCAGUGACACAUGCCCGCGCCAGGCGUCUGCGGCUCCUUCCAACAGAGGCCAGCGUGAC